CAGGUCCCGGUCUAGAUCCCGCUCAAGGUCCCGAGGAAGAAGGUAUUCUCGGUCACGCAGUCGGAGUCGCGGUAGGAGAUCAAGGUCAGCCUCCUACCGCAGGUCCAGGUCAAUCUCUCCUCGUAGAUAUAGAUCAUUUUCACCUCGCAGAUCUCGGUCUGGUUCUAUAAGGAGGUCAAGGUCUAGGUCCAGAUCACGCUCAAGGUCCCGGUCUGUUGUGUGGCCUCGAAGCAGUCGCUCAAAGUCCAGAUCACCAUCUCCAAAGAGAAGUCAUUCACCAUCAGGAAGCCCUUGAAGAAGUGCAAGUCCUGAAAGAAUGGAUUCAAAUUUAAAGUUUAAGAAAAAAAUUUAUUUUGUUUACAUUAUUAUAAGGGAUUUUGUGAUGUCUUUAUAAAUGUAAGGGCUUAGUCCUAGAAUGUUGUUUCUAUUGACUAACAAUUGGCAUGAAUCUGGAUCUUUUGAAAGUCUUCUUAGUAGACUAAUGCAAAACUUGUGUUAAUGUUCUGUGAUCUGGAAAUGUUGGGCUUUUUUUAUUGGCGCAUUGAAAUAAAGUGUGCAUUUCUAACUAA